UGUGAGAGUUUGUCCAGAAGCAUAUCAAUAUGAGAAUCGACUCAAAAAGGCAUUGGAAAAAUCCCUAUUCAAAAUUCUACACUCCAAGUUUGAAAAAGUGUCAUGAGCAGUAUUUUAAGCAGCCUAAUGUGCCACACAAGCUUUCGGUAGAGGACAAACUCUCUAAAUUGUUGGAAUCAACUUAGUUGUAUUUUGAAAUAACCAAUCAAGGAUUUCAUAUUCAAGCAUUAAACUGUGGGAAAAACUAUGAUUGUGAAAUCCCGUUCUUGGAUUUCACUAUUGUAAUUUACAUAUUUCGUAUUCACGGUAUUUUAUAGUAUUUUCGUGAAUAUAAAUUAAUUUUUUAUUUUAAUUACUUAAGUACAAAGUUUGAAUUUUUUAAAAAUAAUUAUUUAUAAUCCGUAGACUUUCGAGGGUCAUUCUUAAUGUUUUCAAAUUGAGCUCGAUACCACAAGUGCGUAAGCGAAGGCUGUUCGUGAAUUGAGACGAGGAAGGAGAAGUUACGGACGUUAGAAGUUUCUUAAAUAAAAUAAGAAUUUAAUAUUUUUGGGGUUCCCAUUACUUUGGAAAGGGACCAAUUAGAAAAGAAAAGAAAAAAAAAGAUUAGAAGCUGCCAAAUGGAAGCAAGAGAUGGGGGAAAUGAGAGUUGUGGGAAAGAAAU
rnacentral:lncRNA from 1 species